rnacentral:lncRNA from 1 species
UGAUUGAGGAAAUGUCUGUGAAUGUUAUGUAUGAGAACUGUGAAAAUGCAGGGCAAGAGAACACUGAGAAUUCAGUAAAUAUGGUGUCAAAUGCAAGGGCUUGGUUUGCUGAUUCUGGCUCAACAAACCACAUUACAGACAGAAAGGCAGAUAUUCAAGAUGGGUUGGAUUGUGAGAAUUUCAUCAACACUGCCGAUGGACAUCCUAUGAGGAUUGUUCGCUCUGGUAAUUCUUUUAUUUCUGUCAAUAAAAGAAAGUUUUUUAUGAACCAAAUUUUAUGUGUACCUUCUGCAUCAAAGAAUCUGAUUUCAGUAAAGAGAUUUUGUGCUGACAAUCAAGUGACUAUGGAAUUUGAUCCACAGAGGCUGUUAGUCAAGGAUAUCAACACUGAAGAAGUUCUGAUGAUUGGGAAGGAAAGUGGAGGACUAUAUCAAUUACCUAUACCUAGAGGAGAUUCAGGGAUGCAAGUUAAUCAAAUGGAGUUGGGGAUGAAAGCCACUGCUAAAGUGUGGCACUUGAGAUUGGGGCACCUACACUCGAGGGCUAUGAAGCAACUCAACAAUCAGAAUUUAAUUAGAGUUUCAAAUACAAAUGAUAUCAAAAAUUUAUGUAAGGAAUGUUGUAUGGC